rnacentral:rRNA from 1 species
CUGUGAGACAGGUGCUGCAUGGCUGUCGUCAGCUCGUGUUGUGAAAUGUUGGGUUAAGUCCCGCAACGAGCGCAACCCUUAUCCUUUGUUGCCAGCGGUUAGGCCGGGAACUCAAAGGAGACUGCCAGUGAUAAACUGGAGGAAGGUGGGGAUGACGUCAAGUCAUCAUGGCCCUUACGACCAGGGCUACACACGUGCUACAAUGGCGCAUACAAAGAGAAGCGACCUCGCGAGAGCAAGCGGACCUCAUAAAGUGCGUCGUAGUCCGGAUUGGAGUCUGCAACUCGACUCCAUGAAGUCGGAAUCGCUAGUAAUCGUAGAUCAGAAUGCUACGGUGAAUACGUUCCCGGGCCUUGUACACACCGCCCGUCACACCAUGGGAGUGGGUUGCAAAAGAAGUAGGUAGCUUAACCUUCGGGAGGGCGCUUACCACUUUGUGAUUCAUGACUGGGGUGAAGUCGUAACAAGGUAACCGUAGGGGAACCUGCGGUUGGAUCACCUCCUUACCUUAAAGAA